rnacentral:piRNA from 1 species
UCAACUGGAAAUAUUUAUCAA